GAAUGCGUUUUUAUCUAUCACAUUACAAUCAAACAUCACACAACAAAGAAACCCUAAAAAACACUCCAUCCAAGUCAAACCAAACGCGCAAUCACAUUACCGCAUUGUUUCCGUCAGAGUACCUGAGUGGGACGCAUUGCAGUUUCGAGGGCGGAGAGACGGUGAUCGAAGGAACCGAGAAUGGAAACCAUGUUAUCGGUGAUGGUUUGGCUUCUGUGAAGAGAGUCUUUCACGAACGAUGCUCUUUCUCGGAGAGCAACCAUGGCUUGAGGAAUUCCCAUUAGAAGCGAUUGAGAAAGUGGAGAAAGGGCAAGAGGAAGAGCUAGAGAGCAAGGGUUGGAGAACGGAAAAGCUUGAAGCUCAAAGUUGCCGGAUUAACUCAGGUAACGAGCAGUGAUUGAGUAGAAGCUAAUGCUUGGAGUCUAGUGUAGUCUCCUUAGUGGGUCAUGCUCUGAUAGAUGUAACAUCGGGAGGGAACAUUUUAAUUGUGUUGUUGAUGUCGGUUGAACCAGUUUACAUGUAGUAUGUUACAUAUUUUGAAUGAUCGAUUUGAUCUCUAUCCGCUGCGUAUUGUGCAAUACUUUAUGUUUUGAGUUAAAUAAUGAGCAUGACUAAAUAGUAUGACGAAUGGUGCGAAAAAAA